GACGAACCGAGCGAACGUUGUUCGGAAUCACUGGGCUUAAAGGGCGCGUAGGCGGGCUGUCAAGUCUGGGGUGAAAUCCCGCGGCUCAACCGUGGAACUGCCUCAGAUACUGACGGUCUCGAGGGGGGUAGGGGCGAGCGGAACUAAUGGUGGAGCGGUGAAAUGCGUUGAUAUCAUUAGGAACUCCGGUGGCGAAGGCGGCUCGCUGGACCUUUUCUGACGCUGAGGCGCGAAAGCUAGGGGAGCAAACGGG
rnacentral:rRNA from 1 species